GCACAAGGCUGAGUAAGGCCACUGUAUGCAGAGGAGUUAGAAAAGUGUGACUCGCCCUCAAGCGCCUUCUGUGGAUCUUUGUUGUGUUUCCUGGCCACAAACUCCUCAGAGUCAUUAAAGAGGAGUUUCACAGGAUUGCAGAUCACAUGUGAUGCUUUGGUCAUGACUCAUGAAUAUAUUGUGCGUCAACCCUAAGUAACAGGCUGCACUGUGGAGAGAUUGACGGCUUUCUGCUGGGAGAUAGGGGUCACCCAUGAUACCCUUCGCUGAUGCAGAUGUAUUACUUUUUCUAAUAAUUAUCAGCUUGAAUUCCUUGUACGCCAGCAUUAAAACCUCCAACUCCGCCUCUGCAAAAUAUGCUGCCCUUUUCGUGUCGCUUUUUUCC